rnacentral:rRNA from 1 species
UACGGAGGGUGCGAGCGUUGUCCGGAAUCACUGGGCGUAAAGGGCGCGUAGGCGGCGCGGGAAGUCAACGGUGAAAGCUUGGGGCUCAACUCCGAGUCUGCCGUCGAUACUCCCGUGCUCGAGCACUGUAGAGGCAGAUGGAAUUCCGGGUGUAGCGGUGGAAUGCGUAGAGAUCCGGAAGAACACCGGUGGCGAAGGCGGUCUGCUGGGCAGUAGCUGACGCUGAUGCGCGACAGCGUGGGGAG